AUUCCAGCUCCAAUAGCGUAUAUUAAAGUUGUUGCGGUUAGAAAGCUCGUAGUUGGAUUUUGGAGGGGAAGGAGUUGUUCGGAUUUAUUCCGGGGAGCAUCCUUUUUCUCUUUCGGGGGUCGCUUCUCUUGAGAAGGGACCCCCCCUUUACUUUGAACAAAUUAGAGUGUUUAAAGCAGACGAUUGUCUUGAAUACAUUAGCAUGGAAUAACAAGGUUGACACUUGCUUACUUGUUGCCGAGGAAGGGAGUGUGAUGAUGGAAAGGAACGGGUAGGGGUAUGAGUAUUGCUCUGUCAGAGGUGAAAUUCUUAGACCAGAGCAAGACUAGCGGAAGCGAAAGCAAUUGCCAAAAACGUUUUCAUCA
rnacentral:rRNA from 1 species